rnacentral:lncRNA from 1 species
UUGGAAAGCACCUGGGGCCGCGCCCGGGCGCAGUGCCCCCAUGUGGCCUCCCACCCCGGGCGGGCAGGACGAUUCCUGCCCAUCUGGAAGACCAGGAACCUGCGCGUUCACAGGGUUCGGAAGCCCGGGCUGCGCCUUCCCGCGGGGCCGGCUGCCGGGCUGGGGGCUCUUCCCGCCUCUGCAUGCACAGAGCCCGCGGUGCACGAACCUGCUCCCCGCCAGCCCCGCGGACUGGCAGGGCCGCUCUGGAGUCACCCGCGCCCGCUCCGCAGUGCGCAAACUCACUUCGCAGCGGGCUCUCCCGGGGCCAGCCCUUCCCUCCUGGGCGGGCAUUUUCACCUCCAGGUACAAGGGGGUGGUCCCCAGAGGAGGACUCAGGGGCUUAAGGAGAAGCUGAGGCCCGGUCCUCUGGCCUCAACGACUGCACAUUCUCGCCGCCUGCUUCACUUCUUAGAGCCUUGGAGGUGAAUUGGUCUCACCACCUCACCCCACCCCCAGGAGAUAGAACCUUCUAGUAAAAAUGAGAAAAUCCGGCCGGGCGCGGCGGCUCACGCCUGUAAUCCCAGCACUUUGGGAGGCUGAGGCGAGUGGAUCACCUGAGGUCGGGAUCACCUGAGGCUGAGGCUGAGGCAAGGAGAAUCGCUGGAACCCAGGAAAGAGGUUGCAGUGAGCCGAGAUCGCACCAUUGCACUCCAGCCUGGGCAACAAGAGCAAAACUCCGUCUCAAAAAAAUAAAAAAGAUGUUCAGAGAAACAGUUCCAUUUACUAAGUCACUGCUGGUGGCCAAAGCCUAGUUAAUGUUCUGAAAAUCUCCAUCGUGUUUGUUCCUCUUCUGUGAUUCUUAUUUUCUCUUCUAUUUUCACCUGCCAUAUUUUUUCCUGAGGCUGACAACUGUUUGGUAGGAUAUAAGAGGAUUUAAAACUUAGUAAAGCAAAUUACUUGCCUUUGUUA